UUCUCCUUUCUUCAUUGUCAUCUUCACGUUAUAACCCAAAAAAACCCAACCCCAACCUCAUUCUUCUCCAUCUCCAUGAACUUUCAUCUCAACGACGGAGACCCACGACAACAGAGACCCACUGCGAUAGAGACCCAUGACGACGUCAAAUCUAAACAUUUCGAAGACAACGACCAACACUCGUUUUCUCAUCGACGGAUGCAGACUAUUUAAACUAGAACAAAUUGCUACAUAUGGUGGAGUUUCUCGAAAAUCCAACUCUUUCGCCGCCUUCGAUUCAGCGGCAUGAAGCUAGAUCUUCAUAUUUCUUUCAAUUUUGGUGUCCUAGUAGAGAGUAAGGAGGAUCAGUAUAUGCAAUCAGAAUUUGUGAGUUCCCAUAUCCAGCGGUUUGGAAGAAUCUAUUGGAGCAGUGAAGUCAACGUGAAACAAUGGAUUGAUAUAGGAUUUUCUGUAUGGUUGGUAGAAAAAUCUUUGUUACAAUGUACGAAUUUUAGGCUUGUCAGUACCUAAAGAUGUUAGUGUUUAUUCUUUUUGUAUGUAAACUACCUUUUAACAAAAAAUGGUUAUUAGUCAAUUGUUGUACGAAUAUUACAAAGUGUAUUAUAGCGUAUAUAUAUUAAAGUGUUGACUUUUUGUUUUCA